CCUACGGGAGGCAGCAGUGGGGGAUAUUGCACAAUGGGGGGAACCCUGAUGCAGCGACGCCGCGUGGGCGAUGGAGUGCUUCGGCAUGUAAAGCCCUAUCAGCAGGGAAGAAAAUGACGGUACCUGACUAAGAAGCCCCGGCUAAAUACGUGCCAGCAGCCGCGGUAAUACGUAUGGGGCAAGCGUUAUCCGGAUUUACUGGGUGUAAAGGGAGCGUAGGCGGCCUGGCAAGCCUGAUGUGAAAUACCGGGGCCCAACCCCGGGGCUGCAUUGGGAACUGCCAGGCUGGAGUGCCGGAGAGGCAGGCGGAAUUCCUAGUGUAGCGGUGAAAUGCGUAGAUAUUAGGAGGAACACCAGUGGCGAAGGCGGCUUUCUGGACUGAAACUGACGCUGAGGCACGAAAGCGUGGGGAGCGAACAGGAUUAGAUACCCUAGUAGUC
rnacentral:rRNA from 1 species